rnacentral:rRNA from 1 species
UACGGAGGGGGCGAGCGUUAUUCGGAAUUAUUGGGCGUAAAGGGCGCGUAGGCGGCUUGAUGUGUCAAAGGUGAAAUCCCUCGGCUCAACUGAGGAACUGCCUUUGAAACUGUCUGGCUUGAGGCCGGGAGAGGGUAGCGGAAUUCCCAGUGUAGCGGUGAAAUGCGUAGAUACUGGGAGGAACGCCGGUGGCGAAGGCGGCUACCUGGACCGGUUCUGACGCUGAUGCGCGAAAGCGUGGGUAGCAAACAGG